AGCGGUAACAGCUCAAAUUUGAAAUCUGGGUCUUUCAGGCUCCGAGUUGUAAUUUGUAGAAGAUGCUUCGGGUGCGGCGCCGGUCUAAGUCCCUUGGAACAGGGCGUCACAGAGGGUGAGAAUCCCGUAUGUGAUCGGUUGCCUGUGCCCGUGUGAAGCUCUUUCGACGAGUCGAGUUGUUUGGGAAUGCAGCUCUAAAUGGGUGGUAAAUUUCAUCUAAAGCUAAAUAUUGGCCAGAGACCGAUAGCGCACAAGUAGAGUGAUCGAAAGAUGAAAAGCACUUUGGAAAGAGAGUUAAACAGUACGUGAAAUUGUUGAAAGGGAAGCGCUUGCAACCAGACUUGCGCGUUGUCGAUCAUCCGGGGUUCUCCCCGGUGCACUCGACCUCGCUCAGGCCAGCAUCGGUUUCGGUGGUUGGAUAAAGGCCUUGGGAAUGUAGCUUCCUUCGGGGAGUGUUAUAGCCCUCGGUGCAAUGCAGCCUACCGGGACCGAGGACCGCGCUUCGGCUAGGAUGCUGGCGUAAUGGUUGUAAGCGACCCGUCUUGAAACACGGACCAAGGAGUCUAACAUCUAUGCGAGUGUUUGGGUGUCAAACCCAUACGCGUAAUGAAAGUGAACGGAGGUGAGAACCCUUAAGGGUGCAUCAUCGACCGAUCCUGAUGUCUUCGGAUGGAUUUGAGUAAGAGCAUAGCUGUUGGGACCCGAAAGAUGGUGAACUAUGCCUGAAUAGGGUGAAGCCAGAGGAAACUCUGGUGGAGGCUCGCAGCGGUUCUGACGUGCAAAUCGAUCGUCAAAUUUGGGUAUAGGGGCGAAAGACUAAUCG
rnacentral:rRNA from 1 species